AAUUUGUGUUGACACUGGAAAACAGAGUUGAGAACCAUCAGAAGUGGACGGACAGAGGACUCAGGAAAUAGAAACAUAUGGUUGAUUUUCUUGCUCUGAAAAUACCAUCGAGAUGUCCCAGUCCGUUGAGGAGAAAAGUAUUAUACUCUUCUGAGCGACAAGUGCCUUUUGCUGAACAGAGUGCUUUUCUUCCUUCCAAGCUCAUAGGACAAUAAAUCUACAAAGCACAAUCUGGAUUUCUUUCUGAAAGCAGUGCAAGAUACAGAGGAAAGAAUUUACAGUGAUUUUACACUCAGACCUUCUUUUUUUCUUUUUCUUUUUUUUUCCUUAAAUUUGAUGUGAAGUUCCUAGGAAAUUAUGUGUUUAUGUUAAUGUAACAUUAAGCUUGAUAAAUCAAGUUCUCAAAUGUCAUGAAAUGCAGAAGUCAGGCUGUAGGCUCAACCUUUACUCUGGCUCUUUGCCUCUUUCUUAAAAUACAGUCUGUCUCUAUGUUGUUAUAAAUUAUUACUCAGAUUACGUAGGAGUCAGUAUAACACAAACUGGAAUUUCCUACAAGGCUUUAUAAAUAGUAAACUCAUGACAGAAAAUGCUGUGCAGCUGGACUAUAUAAGGAAAGAAGCAUUUUACUCACAAAUGCUUCCGUAUGUUCUUUGUUGUGUUUCAGUUUGGCAUGAUCAUCUCUCUACCAUUAUUCAUGCAAGAUUUUGGUUAUCAGAGCUAUUGUGGAGGUGCUGUUCCUCACAGUGACACUGAUAUUCAUGUGCAAAUGAAAGUAUUCAUAUGUGAACACGAGUAUUCAUUUUUUCCUGCCAAUGCUGCUGGAUACUGAAGAUAAGCCUUCCUGGCCUCAAAGGAUAGAAGGAGCUCCCUGGGUCCAAGAAGUCCCAUUCCUGCCCUGCACCCAGGUCAGCCCAUUCACAGCAACGUUAAGCCUUGGUGGAAAAUUUGCCUUGUGUCUGAAACACAGACAGAAAGAAGAAAGAGAGGAGAGGCUCAGAUGUUUGUAGCAAUCUGGUCUGUUUUGAACAUAAAGCUAUCGGAAGAUAAAGAGAAUUUGAGAAGGCUGUACUUUUAUUUCUCAGCAUGUGAAAGAAUAUAGUACAAGUGCUAUUCUGGAUAUACCACAUCUAAAUAUGAAUACACCAUGUUAGAAAGAAAUCAACUGGUCAAGUUUUUUACCCUGGAUAACAUCUAAUGAGAUUUAUCAGACUUCCAACAGCAAUUUUCAUCACACAACUAAGCAUGGUAUUAUUAUAUCUGUGACUGAGAACUCUAGAAAUUUUGAUAGCUUUCAGUCAGAUACUUAUCUCUGGACACAAAGAGAAAUUUUACAAUUGUACUACUGCAAAGUUG